UACGUAGGGACCGAGCGUUGUCCGGAUUCAUUGGGCGUAAAGAGCUCGUAGGCGGCUGCUCAAGUCGAAUGUGAAAACUCGAGGCUCAACCUCGAGCCUGCAUUCGAUACUGGGCGGCUAGAGUCUGGUAGGGGGAUCUGGAAUUCCUGGUGUAGCGGUGGAAUGCGCAGAUAUCGGGAGGAACACCAGUGGCGAAGGCGACUACCUGGCCUGUUCUUGACGCUGAGGCGCGAAAGCUAGGGGAGCAAACGGG
rnacentral:rRNA from 1 species